GCGCUGCCACACAGGUCCUCAUGUCCGAGCGGAGCUGGUGGUCCGAUUAUCGCCGCGCGCUCCUCUCAGGUGUUUCGAUUACAGCUCGAGCGUCGGGCAGCGCGAGCCCCGCCCACCGGCGCAAGAACAACGUCACGCAGAUUUCAAAAUAAAGUCCACCUGGGCGUCUGUUCAACCGAAUGUAAACGGAAAAAAGGGGUCGCCACAGCGAACGAUUCAAAUCCUUCCUGACGCGACUUUGACCCACGACCUGUGCGACAAGAGCGGAGCGCUAACCACUGCGCCACCUCCAUUUGGCAUAUCGACAGUAAAUGUUAAUGAAAGAGAGAGGAGAUAAGGAAAGAGACAACGUGCGGCAGAGACGGAAACACCACAACAAACGAGAUCAAAUGUUAGAAGAACAGUUUAAUCAUACAUAGUCACAAUUCUGCUUCCAAAAGAGUUUGUUUUCUUCAUCUAACAUCUGGAAAUGUACAUAAGGCCACCUGAAAAUGUACAUGACUUUGACAGUGUGACAAAACUCAUAUGUUCAUAUUUAUAUAAUUGACAAUAUUUUACACUGGUUUUGCUUACAAGGUAGGAGCUGUUCAAAAAUACAGCACUCUUCUGUACAAAAAUAAUUCUGGUCAUAUCCUGUGAAGUUUCCAUGGUAGCAGAGGACUAAAUGCAGCCUCAGUUUUAGUACAGAGUGUUUUCUCCUUUUUAAACUGUCACACAUCAGAAAGACUAUCAACAGUGGAUGGUACAGCUCCAGUACAAAUAGAGGCUGGCCUUUCCCAUAACAGAUUAAAAACAAAAACCAUGCCAGAUUGUGAAGCCAUAAAGUUUUUCUUCUUUAAAAUAACACUUGAUCAAAUAAAACUGUAUACAUUAUAUUCAAGGGGAAAGGAGUGAUGAAUAUACACACACAUCAAAAUGCACAUUUGCCUUUUUCUCCCCAUAAAGUGUAAAAGACAUCCCAUUUACAGCAUUAACGUUUACAAAUGUACAACUGUACAGACGAAAUAAAAGCAUCACUACAAAUUUAGAGCAAGGCCUGUCAAAACACCACAACUAGACAUUUUAUCCAAUUAAACUAACAGUCUUACACUUAGUAAAUGCACAUAUACUACAUGUAUUCUACAAUUAUUCAUAUGAAGCAAAGAAGCGAUCUCUACAAGCGUUACAGGUGAAUGUUCUAGCGUCUGAUGUCCCCACCGGCCUCCGCCAAAUGAAAAAACAAAAUUUCAUUUUUAAAAUCAAACACAAAAAGGAACCAUUAAAAAAAAAAAAAAAAAAAAAAA